UUUAUAUUUUCUUAGCGAUUGCUUCGUUAUAUCUAUGUUGUGUGAGUUAAUGGAAUAACUUCUAAUUUCGAAGUAACAUUAUUUUGGCAGUUUAACUCUUAAGAUAGAUCUAUUAUGGUUAUCGAAUGCGAAAUGAACAAGUAUCGAUUGAACGGCCCGCCAAUAUUUGCUCAUGUUGCUCGAUCUUGCCAACCUUCAGUCAGUUCUGCACGGUGAAAGUAUUUAACUCUUAUUUUGGCACAACAAUGAAAAAUGUAUAUAUAAUAGCCUAUAGUGUAAUUUUUCAUUCAUGUUUAUACUUUGGGCAUACAGUAAUACUGCAGUAACUGCACUAGUUUUAUUACUUUGUGACAGCAUUUUUCGUUAACUAGCAAUAAUGCACAAAUUACUAAAUGCUUUUUCUUACAAGCUUUUAUGAGAUGAUUACAAAGUAACAAUAGCCUAAUAGAUAUUAUUGAGCAAGUUGGUUCAGGUAUUAUUACUCUAUGUAUUUCACAUUUUUAGUAUAGUAAUUUUAAAAUUACUAUAUUUUUUUUUCUUUUUUCAUUUAAUGUUUUGAGUCAGGAUGUCUUUCACCUUAAUAACACAUGUCAAUGUGAUUUGCUACAGAAAACUGCUGGUGGGAAUAAAAUAGCCUACGGUUUAGAGUUCACUGUCCCCAUUAAGCGCACCUGGUUACUGUACUUCAUGUAAUUGUAGGUGUAAUUACUGUGUCAUGGAGAGAGAAAAGUGGAAUAUCACUCGCAGCAAUUUAAGGAAAAGGGCUGUUAAAAGAGUCACCCAGUUUAUGAAAUCUUUGAAUGAUGAGGAUAUGGAUUGUACUAAUGAAGAGCAUAGUGUUGAAAAUGAAGUGGUUACUUCAAGCUUUGUUUUGCCACCAAUCUGUAGAUCAGAAAGUGAUGGGGAAAGUGAAUCAGCAAGUGACGAGGAUAGCCUUGAUAUUACUAAAGGUUUAGCGGGAUGUUUGAGAGACUGGGCAACACAUUUUCGCAUUUCAUUGAUUGCUUUGUCUGCCCUUUUGUCGAUACUGAAAGUCCAUCACCCAUCUUUGCCAAAAGAUGCAAGAACAUUACUCAAAACACAGACUCAACAUAGUGUUGUUUCCUUGGCGAGUGGAUCAUUCCAUUACUUUGGUAUACAGAAAAUGUUCAGCCACAUAUUUCAGAAGCUUACAUCAGUUGUCCGGAAUCAUCACAGCUUCAAAUUGCAAUUAAACAUGGAUGGUCUUCCAAUUUUUAAAAGUUCAGGUGUACAGUUCUGGCCAAUUUUAGGAAUGCUCCAGGCUUACAGUAGAAAACCUGUGCUGAUUGCUCUUUACUGUGGGAAAUCGAAGCCUCAGUCCUUGUCAGAAUAUCUGAAGGAUCUGGUCUGUGAGUUGAAAUCCUUGAGCACUGGUUUUGUUGUUAAUGGAAAGACCUUCUUCUUGACUGUGUGCUCGGUAAUCUGUGAUGCUCCUGCGAGGGCUUUUAUUAAGGGUAUUAAGUCACACAAUGGAUACAGUGGCUGUGAUAAAUGUGUACAGUCUGGCAUUUACAUUAAUAAUCGCAUGACAUUCCCAGAACUUAAUUCUAGGGUAAGAACCGAUGUUUCUUUUUCAAAUGCAGAGGAUGAAGACCACCAUGUACAACAUUCCCCAUUUUGUGAAACAUCUGUUCCCAUGGUUAGUGGAUUUCCACAUGACUAUAUGCAUUUAGUGUGCUUAGGCGUGGUGCGUCGUCUGCUUGAUUUGUGGAUGGGAACUCGCGGCAAGUUGAGUUACCGUAUUUCAUCCAGGCAAGUGUCUAUCAUUUCUGGCAAACUGCUUGCUCUCAAGAGUUACAUACCCUCUGAAUUUGCUAGAAGACCAAGGGCACUUGAUGAAAGGUUACGAUGGAAAGCAACAGAACUUAGGCAGUUCUUACUUUACACUGGUCCAGUAGUUUUGAGGGAUGUGCUGACUACUGAGGUUUACCAAAAUGUUAUGUUGUUGUCUGUGGGCAUAUAUAUCUUGGCAAGUCCAACAUAUUGUUUGCUGUUAAAUGACUUUGCAAACACACUACUUAGAUCAUUUGUUAAGCAUUUUGGGGAACUCUAUGGUCAUUGUUUUUUAGUGUACAACAUACAUGGUCUGACUCAUCUCAGUGAUGAUGUGAAGGUGCAUGGCCACUUAGAUUUAAUUUCAGGGUUUCCUUUUGAAAACUACUUAAAAAAAAUUAAAGGAAUGGUUAGAAAACCUAGCUCACCACUGCAGCAAGUUAUACGCAGAAUUUCAGAACUUGAUUCAACAAGUUUAAAUGAUGAGGAAACCCGGAAAGCUCACAAAAAAAUGAAAAUGCUGCACUCAGAUGGACCUGUUCCAGAAGGAUUCACAGGAGCGGUCUCCCAAUUUAAGGAACUGUCGAUAGAUGAGGUUGUCAUCAACACAUCAGAGAGGGACAGAUGUAUAAAGAUGAACAAUAAGAUACUAUUGGUUCAGAAUAUAAUUGUCUUUGAAGGUGAGGAAUAUAUUGUCUGCAAAGAAUAUAGACACAUUGCAAAGUUCUUUGAUUAUCCCAUUGAGUCCACAGAUUUGGGAAUUUGUUUUGUGUCAGAUCUGUCACCAAAGCUGAUGUGCUUAACAUUAGAUACCAAUAUGCAGAAGUGCGUCCGGUUGCCUUUGGAGGUUGGAUUUGUUGUCAUUCCACUUCUUCAUGCAGACCCAUCCUAAAUGUCAUUCAUAGCGUGGUGUUUUGGUAGUCUUUAAAUCUGAAUUUUAGAUAGUCCAAUCUUUUUCAAAUUGAAUUAAUUUAUGUGCAGAUUGGCAUUUAGACAGCAGUGACAGAGUCCAGCCUGCCUUGGGUUAUUUCAGUAGGUCAUGUUUUACAUUGUAGAGUUUCUAGAAACCCAAGAAGUUGAAGUGGUACCAGCACUUUGGGUUGAAAAGGAAAUAUGUCAAUGGCCAGCUCAAUACAGACGUGAUGAAUUAGUAAAGGCCAUACGAAGUGAGGAGCAACCUGGACACACGUGGGACGCAUAUUGUGUUCGAAUUUUAUAUAAAGCUGCAACCUACAAAGCUGCUCGUCUAAAACUUCCUCAAGCGGAAACACAAACUGACCUUCAAACAGCAGAGGAAGAAGAUGUGGAUGACAUUCCAAAGAAAAAGCGAAAAAGGCUCUCUUCUGCAUAGAAUUCUUACAAAUCAGGAAAUGAUGAUGGAUCAACUCAAAGUCAUUCUGAUGAACAUGCAGAAAAUGGGCGAACCUGCUCAUGGGCAGGAUCCCAUCGACAGAGACUUACUGCCACUGAAAGAUCUUACCUCCCUGCUGGCUCUGGAAAAACGUCUGAGGGAAGAGGCUGACCUCAAAAAAAAAAUGAUUACUGCAUUGAGCUUCAUUGGAGGAGUUGAUGUUAAGGAUAGCGUUUGGCGGGUUAUGGGGCACUGUAUUACCAACUCCCAUGGCAAACAACUUAACUGGCGUGGCAUCAAUGGCAAAACAGCUUUCCACAAACUGCAGCUGAAAGAUGUCAUUACUGGAACUGUCAGAAACAAUAGACUUACAGCUGCGGCCACCGAUCAAGAAAUUGAAACAUUUAUUAAAAAAUGGCUUCAUCUGUCAAGUGACCGAGACGGAGGGAGAAGAGAAAGGGAGAAACGGAGGAGGUCCCAAGACACCUGCUUGCAAGAUUGCCAUGAUGACACAGAUGGGCCCAGUCAAGGAGGUCAAAUUCUUUAAUUUUGGAUGGCUCCAUUUGCCAAUGUUUUCUAGUGUGU